rnacentral:rRNA from 1 species
AGAGUUUGAUCCUGGCUCAGGAUGAACGCUAGCGGCAGGCCUAAUACAUGCAAGUCGGACGGGAUUGGAGAGCUUGCUUUCCAUGAGAGUGGCGCACGGGUGCGUAACACGUAUGUAACCUACCCUUAUCAGGGGGAUAGCCUCUCGAAAAGAGAGAUUAAGCCCGCAUAACAUGAAGACACAGCAUUGUGAUUUCAUCAAGUAUUUAUAGGAUAAGGAUGGGCAUGCGGAACAUUAGCUAGUUGGUAAGGUAAUGGCUUACCAAGGCUACGAUGUUUAGGGGAUCUGAGAGGAUGACCCCCCACACUGGUACUGAGACACGGACCAGACUCCUACGGGAGGCAGCAGUAAGGAAUAUUGGUCAAUGGGCGCAAGCCUGAACCAGCCAUGCCGCGUGCAGGAAGACGGCCCUACGGGUUGUAAACUGCUUUUGUACCGGAAU